CCCUGGGCUCGUCCAACACAGGUGAUAUCCACAUCAUGGGUACUACCAAGAUUUUCCUGCUCCUUCUCUCAGUGGCCCUGUUGGCCCUGAGCUCAGCUCAAGGAACACCCAAGGAAGCCCCAAGACAGCAACCUGCUGAACCUGAACCAGCCCCAAGGCAACAAACUAGGAAAAG